CCUACGGGAGGCAGCAGUGAGGAAUAUUGGUCAAUGGGCGCGAGCCUGAACCAGCCAAGUAGCGUGAAGGAUGACUGCCCUACGGGUUGUAAACUUCUUUUAUAAAGGAAUAAAGUGAGGCACGUGUGCCUUUUUGUAUGUACUUUAUGAAUAAGGAUCGGCUAACUCCGUGCCAGCCGCCGCGGUAAUACGGAAGAUCAGGGCGUUAACCGGAUUUAUUGGGUUUCAAGGGAUGGUAGAUGGGUUGUUAAGUUAGUUGUUAAAGUGUGCGGCUCAACCGUAAAAUUGCAAUUGAUACUGGCAGUCUUGAGUGCAGGUGAGGUAGGCGGAAUGCGUGGUGUAGCGGUGAAAUGCUUAGAUAUCACGAAGAACUCCGAUUGCGAAGGCAGCAUACCAAGCUACUGCUGACGUUGAGGCACGAAAGCGUGGGGAGCAAACAGGAUUAGAUACCCCUGUAGUC
rnacentral:rRNA from 1 species